rnacentral:rRNA from 1 species
UCGUCAUAUGCUUGUCUCAAAGAUUAAGCCAUGCAUGUGUAGGUAUAACCGUUUAUACCGGGAAACUGCGAAUGGCUCGGUAAAUCAGUUAUAGUUUAUUUGAUAGUGCCCACUACUCGGAUAACCGUAGUAACGCUAGAGCUAAUACGUGCGUAAAUCCCGACUCUAGGAAGGGACGUAUUUAUUAGAUAAAAGGCUGACCGGGUUUACCCGAUCUGCGUUGAAUCAUGGUAACUUCACGGAUUGCAUGGCCUUCGUGCCGGCGACGUGUCAUUCAAGUUUCUGCCCCAUCAUGGUUUCGACUGUAAUGUAUUGGAUUACAGUGCCGAUAACGGGUAGCGGAGGAUUAGGGUUCGAUUCCGGAGAGGGCGCCUGAGAAAUGGCGACCACAUCCAAGGAAGGCAGCAGGCGCGCAAAUUACCCAAUCCCAACUCAGGGAGGUAGUGACAAGAAAUAACAAUGCGGAGCCACAGGUUCUGCAAUUGGCAUGAGUACAAUUUAAACCACUUAACGAGUACCUAUUGGAGGGCAAGUCUGGUGCCAGCAGCCGCGGUAAUUCCAGCUCCAAUAGCGUAUAUGUAAGUUGUUGCGAUUAAAAAGCCCGUAGCUGAACCUCGGGCAGCCCGGACGGUCCGCCUUUUGGUGUGUACUGUCUUGGGCUGCCUUUCUGCUGGGGACCGUAUCCUUGCAUUUACUUGCCGGGAACGGGACCUAGCAAGGUUACUUUGAGUAAAAUAGAGUGUUCAAAGCAAGCAAUCGCUCUGAAUACACUAGCAUGGGAUAACACGACAUGACCGAUGGUCUAUCUUGUUGGCCUGUAGACCCGUUGGUAAUGGCUAAUAGGGACGGUCGGGGGCAUUCGUAUUUCGCUGUCAGAGGUGAAAUUCUUGGAUUUGCGAAAGACGAACUACUGCGAAAGCAUUUGUCAAGGACGCUUUCAUUAGUCAAGGACGAAAGUCGGGGGAUCGAAGACGAUUAGAUACCGUCGUAGUCUCGACCAUAAACGAUGCCAAUUAGGGAUCGGAGGGCGGUUUAUUUAUGCCUCCUCCGGCACCUUCCGCGAAAGCAAAAUGUAUGGGCUUCGGGGGGAGUAUGGUCGCAAGGCUGAAACUUAAAGGAAUUGACGGAACGGCACCACCAGGCGUGGAGCCUGCGGCUUAAUUUGACUCAACACGGGAAAACUUACCAGGUCCAGACAAAAUUAGGAUUUACAGAUUGAUAGCUCUUUAAAGAUUUUUUGGAUGGUGGUGCAUGGCCGUUCUUAGUUCGUGGAUUGAUUUGUCAGGUUGAUUCCGGUAACGGACGAGACCCCAACCUACUAACUACGCUCUAGCUGUUUUACAGCUAGCCAGUCUUCUUAGAGGGACUCUCGGUGUUGAGCCGAUGGAGGUGGGGCAAUAACAGGUCUGUGAUGCCCUUAGAUGUCCUGGGCCGCACGCGCGCUACACUGAUGCAUUCAACGAGCCUACCCUUGUCCGAGAGGUCUGGGUAAUCUGUGAAACUGCAUCGUGAUGGGGCUAGAUUAUUGCAAUUAUUGAUCUUCAACGAGGAAUGCCUAGUAAGCGCGAGUCAUCAACUCGCGUUGAUUACGUCCCUGCCGUUUGUACACACCGCCCGUCGCUCCUACCGAUUGGGUGUGCUGGUGAAAUGUCCGGAUUGGGUGGUGUCCCGGCUUGCCGGGUAUCCGUUCGAGAAGCGCAUUGAACCCUCUCACCUAGAGGAAGGAGAAGUCGUAACAAGGU